AGUCGAACGGAAAGGCCCCUUCGGGGGUGCUCGAGUGGCGAACGGGUGAGUAACACGUGGGUGAUCUGCCUCGUACUCUGGGAUAAGCCUGGGAAACUGGGUCUAAUACUGGAUAGGACCGCACUUUAGUGUGUGUGGUGGAAAGUUUUUUCGGUACGAGAUGAGCCCGCGGCCUAUCAGCUUGUUGGUGGGGUAAUGGCCUACCAAGGCGUCGACGGGUAGCCGGCCUGAGAGGGUGGACGGCCACAUUGGGACUGAGAUACGGCCCAGACUCCUACGGGAGGCAGCAGUGGGGAAUAUUGCACAAUGGGCGCAAGCCUGAUGCAGCGACGCCGCGUGAGGGAUGACGGCCUUCGGGUUGUAAACCUCUUUCGACAGGGACGAAGCUUUUUGUGACGGUACCUGUAUAAGAAGCACCGGCUAACUACGUGCCAGCAGCCGCGGUAAUACGUAGGGUGCGAGCGUUGUCCGGAAUUACUGGGCGUAAAGAGCUCGUAGGUGGUUUGUCGCGUCGUCUGUGAAAUUCCGGGGCUUAACUCCGGGCGUGCAGGCGAUACGGGCAUAACUUGAGUGCUGUAGGGGAGACUGGAAUUCCUGGUGUAGCGGUGGAAUGCGCAGAUAUCAGGAGGAACACCGAUGGCGAAGGCAGGUCUCUGGGCAGUAACUGACGCUGAGGAGCGAAAGCAUGGGGAGCGAACAGGAUUAGAUACCCUGGUAGUCCAUGCCGUAAACGGUGGGCGCUAGGUGUGAGGGUCUUCCACGACUUUCGUGCCGUAGCUAACGCAUUAAGCGCCCCGCCUG
rnacentral:rRNA from 1 species